AUUUUGUGUUAAUCAAUUGGGGUCCAUUUCAAUGAAGGCUGUCCCAAGCGGUGGAGAUUUUGGAUGCCAUAAGGAUUCUAUUUGAACAUGUUAUUUUUGCCUUCAGUGUAAUGUACCUCGAUUGGUCAACACAGAAU